UUUUUUGAGUUGAGAACAUUUCUGACAAGUUCUGCCACUCUGGACUUUUAUUUAACCUGUGGCCCCCACUUUUAGAGGUUGACUCAGAAGAGUUGGUCUGAGGCUGCUAAUGUAAAAGAUGAGACUGUACCACUGAUUGCUUCUUCAGUCUACAUUCCAGCUGCAGGCUAAACUCUCUCUGGCGGCCAUUUUUGUUUUCGACAUUACUAGUUUGUGUAACAUAUAACUCCCACCAUGGAUUACGACGACGAACCUAAAGAAGAGACCCAAGAAACUCCUGCUGAGGAGCCAACAGAACAACCGCCAGUCGAAAGUGGGGAUGCAAAUGAAGCCAGACUAGCAAUGGAGGAGGCCGCCAGGAAGAAGAAGGAGAAGGUGGAGAAUGAGAUUGCAGAGUACGAAGAGAUGAGGCGGGAACAGCGUGAGAAGGAGGCUGAUGACCUGGAUCAACUUCGUCAGAAGAGGGAACAAAGGAAGCAAGAGCGGAUAGAGGAUGAUAGACGGAUGUUGGAGAUCAGGAAAGAGGAGGACAAACGCCGCAAGGCAGAAGAGGAGGAGAGGAAGAGAAAGAAACAAGAAGAUGAGAGGAAGAGAAUCGAAGCCAAGAAAGCUAAACUGAAGGAGAUGGAGGAGAGAAAGAAGAUGUCGAAGACACCCAACUUUGUCAUUACAAAGAAGGGAGCCACUAACUUGGAGGAGGCUAGUAAAGACAUGGCUAAGUCCAAAGAACAGUUGGAGGAGGAGAAGCGUGCCAUCCUUGCCCAGCGUAUCCAGCCUCUGUCUGUAGAUGGAUUGGACUUGGCGGCCCUGGCAGAGAAGGCAACAGAGCUUCACAACAAGAUCAAGAACCUUGCCAACGACAAGUAUGAGUUGGAGGAGCGCUUCAAGAGCCAGCAGUAUGACAUGAUUGAACUGGCUGAGAGGGCUAGACAGAUGAACAAGGGAAAGAAGAGGGCUGUCCAGGUUGAUGACUCAUUUGAUCCCAUGGCAGAAAAAUACAGCAGCGCUCCCCCCAAAGUUCAGAUGUACAGCAAAUAUGAGAGACACACUGACCUUAGAUCAUACGGUAACAGGGUAGAUUAUUUCGAAACAAAAGCCAAAAAAAUAGAAGCCGAAUUGGCAGUUGGUAAGAAAGAUGAUGAAGACAACCUUUUGGAGACAACGGGAGAAGAAGUAGCAGAAACUCCAGAAGGCGAAGCUGAGGCUGCACCUGCCGCAGAGGAGGAAUAGAGGUCAUCAGAUCAAGGUCAUAGCCUUGGGGGUCAACAGGUGACCUUUGGUUGUUGUGUGGUGACCUGAAUUUGUUGUGUGGUGGAAUAGUGAUCGCUAGAGCAUGCUAUCACUCCUCUUAUCGCCAUGGAAACAUCAUCCAGUCACAUCAUUGUAGCAUGUCCUUUUAGAUACAGACCAUUUUACCAGAUUGAGUCAUAGAUGUCGAGAAUAAACACCAUGUGUAUCGUUGCCAAGAGGGUGUGUUACAGGGCGUAGCUUGAGACAGCAAAUGUGUGUGAUGUCAUCCUAGUCACCAUAGUAACGACUACUGUUGUCGUUAGCAACAGUGAAGCAUUUGUUGUCAGUAGCAACAGUGAAUUCAUUCAUUAGUUAACCCAUCAUUACGAUAUUAGUGCAGAGAACUCCAUGUCAAGAAAAGAAAAACCAGUGGAUACCACCAGAUAAAACAAACCUUUUCCCUUGGCCAUCAGUGUAUAAAGCUUGUAAUUUUGUUUCCUCUAAUUUAAUUAAUUAAACAUUUUGUGCAGUAGAUAACUCUGGAAAAGUUCUAGAUUAUGUCUUCCUUUUUCUCAAAAAAUAUAACUGAACAGCGGCUCCUCAGAAAAUGGAAGGCAUAUAUAGAACUUUUACAUUUUCGGUUGUAUAUUUUUACUUUCCAUAUUUUUGCCCAUUCUAUAGAGACCAUUAUACAGUACGGAAAGAUCAUGCAGACACAGUAGGCCUAUCAUAGGGGCUGGAGGGGUGAACUUCGACCUUCCAGCACCACGGUGGUUUAGCUGGUGUUGUAUCAGAGGAUAGUCCCUUGUUAGGAUUUUAUAUUGAAAACAUAUAAUGAGAAUAAAAGGCUUGGCUAUCCCUUCAUA